UUCCCCGUUCGAUGUUCUAUAGAAGUUGUAUGGUAACGGUUCGUCUAAAAACCGUUGGUUGCUUAGUACACAAUCAAUUUAUCACACAAAUUUACUUUAGAACUGACAACGGGUUUUUUG
rnacentral:sRNA from 1 species